UGGGGAAUUUUGGACAAUGGGCGAAAGCCUGAUCCAGCCAUUCCGCGUGCAGGAUGAAGGCCCUCGGGUUGUAAACUGCUUUUGUACAGAACGAAAAGGUCUCUAUUAAUACUAGGGGCUCAUGACGGUACUGUAAGAAUAAGCACCGGCUAACUACGUGCCAGCAGCCGCGGUAAUACGUAGGGUGCAAGCGUUAAUCGGAAUUACUGGGCGUAAAGCGUGCGCAGGCGGUUAUAUAAGUCAGAUGUGAAAUCCCCGGGCUCAACCUGGGAACUGCAUUUGAGACUGUAUAGCUAGAGUACGGUAGAGGGGGAUGGAAUUCCGCGUGUAGCAGUGAAAUGCGUAGAUAUGCGGAGGAACACCGAUGGCGAAGGCAAUCCCCUGGACCUGUACUGACGCUCAUGCACGAAAGCGUGGGGAGCAAACAGGAUUAGAUACCCUGGUAGUCCACGCCCUAAACGAUGUCAACUGGUUGUUGGGUCUUAACUGACUCAGUAACGAAGCUAACGCGUGAAGUUGACCGCCUGGGGAGUACGGCCGCAAGGUUG
rnacentral:rRNA from 1 species